GGUAAGAUGGCCGAGUUGGUCUAAGGCGUCAGGUUAAGGUCCACCUUAACAAAAAAAUCCUGAUCUCGUUUACGGGGCGUGAGUUCGAAUCUCACUCUUAUCA
rnacentral:tRNA from 1 species